rnacentral:misc_RNA from 1 species
GGGAAUUCUUGAAGUCAUUGACAAUUGAAUGAAAGACCUAUACUAUAAAACGUGGGUCUUGCCCUUCCACUCUCAGUCCACUCACUAUCCAUGAAAAAUAACAUUGAUAAAGGUUGCGAUUUGCUAUACUCUCUAGAAUCAUCAUUAUAAAAUGAUUGUGAAAUGAAUUAUUUAGAAAAAUUGAACUUUUAGGUUGAGGCCCAUGCAAAUGCUCCUUUCUAAAUGAAACAUAAAGAC